ACACACGCACACCCAGCUGUCACGCACGCACCCACUACCCUUGGCUGGCCAACUGGCAGUCACGCGGUGGUGCCUGCACUACCGUGGUGACAUGCCAGCCUCCUCCUUCCACCGCUGUAGGGCGGAUCGCGCCUCUCCUCCUCCGGACAUUCGGCUCACCGCCCCUCUCCUCCUCCCGAUGACGCGCGCUGCCCUCCUCCUCCCCCCACGCCGGCGGCCUCCCUCCACGCGCGCUGCCCUUCACCCCCCACGCCGUGGACCUCCUUCCACCGCUCCGGCGGCCUCCUUCCAGCUUCCUCGUCGCUCGUGGUCGGCAGCUUCCUCGUCGCCGUCCCAGUGCUGUUUGUGGGACAGGAACAGUGUGUGUUGAUGCCGAGCAUAACACAGAGGCAGGUGCUUGUCGAAAUGCGGAUGAGGACCAAAUAUUUUUCUAUUUGGUAUAACGAGAAGAGAAGGAAUUACCUUUUUUGAGAGCUACAGGUCAUAAUGCUUGAAUUCUUAUAUGAUUGCAUCAGUUCAGACCCGAAGAUACAAUAAUUUAAGAGUUCAAGUUUCAAAAUUCUGUAAGUUUAUAUAUAUCACCUAGAUAAGUUCAACGAAAAACUCUUCAUGUUUAGUGCAUGUGCUGUUACAAAUCUGAAUACAUACUCGAAGCAGAAAGUGUAACAUAGGGGAAGGAAUGAGGUGAGCCUUGGUCUCAAUUGAUUUGAGACAUGCAUUUUUUUUAGUAUCAGCACCGUGGCUACCCAUUCAAGUAAUCACAGUCCUACAACAGCUAUGGUCUUAGUCAAAUGUUUCAGAAACGUGCAGUACUACUUGUAGCCUUCACACUUUGUCAGGGGGAGGUGACUAAAGCUCCAGUUUGCAAUUUCACUAGACUAUCUGGAUUUCAUUUAGUGUUUAAAAUUAAAUACUUUCUUGUCCAAUCAUGCUAGUACCGAUGAAUAUCGAGUUGAUUGAAAAUUUUAGUUGAUUCCUGAUCGACCAACCAUCCUGGAACGUGUAUGAGGUUGCCCUCAUGGCCACGGGGGACAUUUCACUUGACUUUGCCUGCAUCCAAGGUUCCAGCCUUUAUGUGUGGUCAAAGGAAGGUGGAUACUGAAGAACCUGCAGGAAGGUGUGGGUUCUCAUGUUCGUUAGCACAGAUGUUGGCAUAUUUAUGAUCAAGCUCAAUCCUUGACAGCUUAAGAAGGUUUACGAGCCUGGGUUCUACUUGAGCGUCCUACCCUACAUAAGCCUGUACGCUCCAGGUACGAUACUGACCCUUGCUUGUCUGUUCUCAUGCAUUUUUCUUUACAACUUCUGAAUGUUGUCAAUGCAAUUUUAUGUAUGCUAGUGAAAACUGAAUAAGUAUUAAGUGACAUGGAAAAACAGAAUGUAACUUUGUUAUCAUAUUGUACUUGUUAAGGGCCAUGACGUGCAUCGGUCAUAUUGCUAAGUGUGCACACGAACAUGAUGAUCUUGUUUUAGCCUGUAACCUUGGGAGUUAUUACUAGCACAUACCUUAACCAAGUGGAAUGCUGAGUUCAACUAUUGGUUAUUAGUUUUGAGCAUCGUAUCUUUUCAGAUCUUGGCACAUUGUUAUUGUUGUGGCCAACUGAUCUCUUGAGUCGUUUAAUUUCCGUUGAACGGUUUCCGUACAAAUUGUGCAAGUCAUUAUAAUCAUGUGUUCAGUGCAAAUUCUAAUUUUAGUUCAAUGCAAUUUCUAAUUUUACUUUAGUUCAAUUCUUAUUUUAGUUCAGAUCAGUUUCUUAUUUUAGCUCAGUUCAGUGCUAGCUAUUUGGAAGGUUUAUUCUUUGGUUGGAAAAUUUCUUUCGUUUUAGGAAGAAUUUGAUGCUUGUUGAGCUACUGGAAUGGGAGUCAUUUCUGUAGUAUCGUGUAUGUCACUGAACAACAAAAAAAUUCACAUGGUGGAUUAGUGGUGCUAAUCUGUCUCAAUUCAACUAGUUAAAACGUCUCAUUAUACCUAGAUAUGCUAAUCAGUUUGACUGUUUCAGUUCAACCGGUUAAAUCGUCUAGGUUCAAAUAUAUUUAUUGUGCCAAGAACAAAUAUUAGUUAAUCCUUCUUCCACUUCCUCCACAAGAAAGUGAGCUUUAAAAGUUUUUGUGUUUCCCCUUGCGUAAAAACUCAUGGAACAAAUUCUACAGACCUGGCUAGUGUGAACUUCGAAAUAGAAAGCAUUGUACAUCAGGAAAAGCUGUCGCAACCUCCCCACAGCGCCGCCUCCUUCCAGCGCGCCGGUCCUGCGUCCCCACACGCCUCCUUCCAGCGCGCCGGUCCUGCGUCCCCACACGCCUCCUUCCAGCGCGCCGGUCCUGCAUCCCCACAUGCGCCGCCGCCUCAUUCCAGCGCACCGCCGCCGCCGACCAAAAAAUGGUGGCGCCACGGCGGCCUCACCCCACGGUCUCCUCCAUCGUUGCAUGUGCGCCAUCCUCAGUCCAACCCCAUGGCGUCGGGGUGAUCGUGUUUGUCGCGAGCAGUAGUUCGGACUUGGGCAUGGUUGUGCCUCAGCAGUUCAGAGCUCGGAUGGGCGGCAGCAGCAUCCUCCCAAGAUCGUCACCGGUGGACAAGCCAUUCAAACAGGAGCCAGCAGUUCACCUGCGCGGCCCGAUGUCAGCUGAUUCGAAGAGACCAGGUCUCUUUCUCUCUCUCUCCUCUGCUAAUUCAUCUCCCAUGCCCUUUGUUUACCUCCCUCUCAUUCUACCAGCCGAGAUCAGUGAUAAGCACAUAAGAUGUUUGUGUUUAUGCCUGAAAAAUAGUGUUUUUUCUUAUGAUUUUUACAUGGCUUAUUGCUGAGUAGUUCAACUAUGCCAAAGCUGAUCGUUCGAGUGUCUAUAUAGGCGUAGUUCAAAGCUGAUGGCUCUUGUGUGUGCAGGAGUAGUUUAAGAGGACAGAAGCUGAUGGUUCAUCAUGUAAAAAACAAAAAAAGAGGAGGAACUUGAGCUCUGCUGGUAUUUGUUUUCGCUCGUGGCCUACUCCUGCUUCGUUCAAUCUAAUGUUGCUUCUGUGCAAACAAACUCUGAACUUGAGCUGCCUGCUGUGGCGUGCGAGUGUGAUGUUCUGAACUGAAUGAACACCUGCAUUCUGUACAAAACAAAGAGGAGGAACUUGCGCUGGUGGUGCAUCCUAUACAAAAUAAGAGGAAUAACUUGAGCUGCUGUUGGUACUUA